AACGAACGCUGGCGGCAUGCCUAACACAUGCAAGUCGAACGAGACCUUCGGGUCUAGUGGCGCACGGGUGCGGAACGCGUGGGAAUCUGCCCUUGGGUUCGGAAUAACAGUUGGAAACGACUGCUAAUACCGGAUGAUGACGUAAGUCCAAAGAUUUAUCGCCCAGGGAUGAGCCCGCGUAGGAUUAGCUAGUUGGUGGGGUAAAGGCCUACCAAGGCGACGAUCCUUAGCUGGUCUGAGAGGAUGAUCAGCCACACUGGGACUGCGACACGGCCCAGACUCCUACGGGAGGCAGCAGUGGGGAAUAUUGGACAAUGGGCGAAAGCCUGAUCCAGCAAUGCCGCGUGAGUGAUGAAGGCCUUAGGGUUGUAAAGCUCUUUUACCCGGGAUGAUAAUGACAGUACCGGGAGAAUAAGCCCCGGCUAACUCCGUG
rnacentral:rRNA from 1 species